rnacentral:rRNA from 1 species
GAUGAACGCUGGCGGCGUGCCUAAUACAUGCAAGUCGAGCGAACGGACGUGAAGCUUGCUUCUCUGAUGUUAGCGGCGGACGGGUGAGUAACACGUGGAUAACCUACCUAUAAUACUGGGAUAACUUCGUGAAACCGUUGCUAAUCCCGGAUAUUAUUUUUAACCGCAUUGUUCAUAAGUUUAUGACGUUCUUUCUGUCUCUUUUCGAUUGAUCCGCGCUGCAUUAGCUAGUUGGUAAGGUAACGUCUUACCAAGGCAACGAGGCAUAGCCGACCUGAGAGGGGGAUCGGCCACACUGGAACUGAGAAACGGACAAGAAUACGAAGGGAGGCAGCAGUAGGGAAUAUUCCGAAAUGGGCGAAAGAAUGACGGAGCAAAGCCGCGGGAGAGAUGAAGGUCUACGGAGCGUAAAACUCUGUUAUUAGGGAAGAAAAUAUGUGUAAGUAAAUGUGCACAGAUGGACGGUAACAAAACAGAAAGCCACGGCUAACUACGUG